rnacentral:misc_RNA from 1 species
UAAUGAUUACGAAUCGUUGCCUUCUGUGCUGGCCAGAACACUGGCAAGUGCACGUCGGUGGCUUUCAUCCAAUCCCCUGUGAACCUUCGGCCUUUGCUAGCCUCGGCCGGCAGAGGAAUUUACACACACUCGAAUGUAAUGAAUAUAUUGUCGUGCGCAAGCACUAAUGUACAACUUUCAACAACGGAUCUCUUGGCUCUCGCAUCGAUGAAGAACGCAGCGAAAUGCGAUAAGUAAUGUGAAUUGCAGAAUUCAGUGAAUCAUCGAAUCUUUGAACGCACCUUGCACCCUUUGGCAUUCCGAAGGGUAUGCUCGUUUGAGUGUCAUUGUACUCUCACACUCCCGAUUUGUUGGGAGCGGUGGACUUGGGUGCUGCUGCUUACUGUGGCUCACCUCAAAUCGAUUCGUGCAUCUCUUGGUUGGACAUAGUACGGCGUGAUAAGUGUCUUCGCCGGCGCCUCACUCGAGGGUGGCCGAUCGGGAGCUCUGUGCUUCUAACCGUCCUCGGACAGCAACUGACAACUUG